CCCACUCAACCACCAGGAGGUUGACAGCACCUGUUGCACCAGUGCUUCCCCGCUGGGCUAAGGAUACACUUUUGCAUUAUGGCCUCGCUGCAGGAAAAGCUCAACAAGAUCAAAUCGCCCAAGCUGCAAAACCAGCACCAUACUUCAGUGGUCCUCUCAGCCGUCGAAGAUACACUCCGCGACCAACAUGCUGACUUCACCGCAACCGCAUACUUCGCCGCCCUCCUCGCCCUCCUCGGCCAGGCCGUAUCCUCAACCGAAGGCAUCGUAAACAAGGAGCUCGCAACUUCAAUAGUCUACCUCCUCGACACAGUCGCCCCUUUCGUCCCCACCGCUCUUCUCGUCUCCAAGUUCUCCC
rnacentral:sRNA from 2 species